AUAUAUAUAUAUAUAUAUAUAUAUAUAUAUAUAUAUAUGAUUAUUUCUCUAUAAGAAAAAUAGAGUGGGAUACGAGAUAUAUUCUUUUGAUCUCUUUUUUAUAGGUUCUUCUAUAUUUAAGGUAUAAGUGGGCUUCUCUCUAAGAAUAAAAAUUCUAUGAGUUAUCUUUCCAAUUUGAAUCACGUAUUGUAGAUGCGUCCAUUAAGUAUUUAUAUACAACCUAUACAGAAUAUAUUCUAUAUAAGAGAAAAAAUUUAUUUUCAAAAGUGAUCUUGUUAGUACAAUUUCGUGUUUUUUAAUUUCAUAAGAAUCUUAAGCAAUAGUAAUAAUUAUAAUAAAUAAUUUUAUUAACAAAUCAAAUAAUUUAAGAUAACCAAACUUCUUAUCAUACAAUACAUGCCAUUGGAAAUACAUUCUUCAUAUAUCAACAAAUUUAAAGUAAAAGACAAUAUUAUAUUUUAAAUUCUAAUUCUAUAUCCGAAUAAAUAAUAUGGUGAUAUAAAAGCAUUGUCUCUAUAAACCUAUUGAUAUUAAUAUCAGUCAAGAGACAUUAACAUCUUGUUAAAUAACCUUUGCAAAAAAGAAAUAUAAUACUUUUGAAAAAAUGGAACCCAUAAAACCCAUGAAGUUAAUAACAACAUUUACAAUCAUUAUAACUGUAAUACACUCUACUUGGUAUCUUUUUCGAGAGAAGUAUGUGCCGAAAAAUGAACAAGGCGAUAUCCCAAUUGUUAUGAUGUUUAAACAUCUUACAGGACAAAAUGAGAAGAAAAGAAACAGUGAUAAAAACUAAUGUAUAGUUAAUUUAAAAGAAUGUAUGAUUCUUUGUAAUAUAAUAAAUAAUUAUAUGGGAGAA